rnacentral:rRNA from 1 species
UACGGGGGGAGCAAGCGUUGUUCGGAUUUACUGGGCGUAAAGGGCGCGUAGGCGGUCGUGACAAGUCACUUGUGAAAUCUCCGGGCUUAACUCGGAACGGUCAAGUGAUACUGUCGGACUAGAGUACAGAAGGGGCAACUGGAAUUCUCGGGUGUAGCGGUGAAAUGCGUAGAUAUCGAGAGGAACACCUGCGGCGAAGGCGGGUUGCUGGGCUGAUACUGACGCUGAGGAGCGAAAGCGUGGGGAGCGAACAGG